rnacentral:rRNA from 1 species
UACGGAGGGGGCGAGUGUUGUUCGGAAUUACUGGGCGUAAAGGGCGCGCAGGCGGCUUGGCAAGUCGAGUGUGAAAGCCCUCGGCUUAACUGAGGAAUGGCGCUCGAAACUACCUCGCUAGAGGACGGGAGAGGGAAGUGGAACUCUCGGUGUAGGGGUGAAAUCUGUAGAUAUCGAGAGGAACACCGGUGGCGAAGGCGGCUUCCUGGCCCGUAACUGACGCUGAGGCGCGAAAGCGUGGGGAGCAAACAGG